AUUGAACGCUGGCGGCAGGCCUAACACAUGCAAGUCGAGCGGAUGAAGGGAGCUUGCUCCUGGAUUCAGCGGCGGACGGGUGAGUAAUGCCUAGGAAUCUGCCUUGUAGUGGGGGAUAACGUCCGUAAACGGGCGCUAAUACCGCAUACGUCCUGAGGGAGAAAGUGGUGGAUCUUCGGACCUCACGCUAUCAGAUGAGCCUAGGUCGGAUUAGCUAGUUGGUGGGGUAAAGGCCUACCAAGGCGACGAUCCGUAGCUGGUCUGAGAGGAUGAUCAGUCACACUGGAACUGAGACACGGUCCAGACUCCUACGGGAGGCAGCAGUGGGGAAUCUUGCACAAUGGGCGAAAGCCUGAUCGAGCCAUGCCGCGUGUGUGAAGAAGGUCUUCGGAUUGUAAAGCACUUUUAGUUGGGAGGAAGAGAAGUAAGUUAAUCCGUUGCUGUUUUGACGUUACCAAAAGAAUAAGCCCCGGCUAACUUCGUG
rnacentral:rRNA from 1 species